rnacentral:rRNA from 1 species
GAUGAACGCUGGCGGCGUGCCUAAUACAUGCAAGUCGAGCGAAGCGGGGACGGGUGAGUAACACGUGGAUAACCUCCUAUAAGGCUGGGAUAACGUCGGGAAACCGGAGCUAAACCGGUUACUUAUAGAUGGAUCCGCGCUGCAUUGUCCAGUUGGUAAGGUAACGGCUUACCAAGGCAACGAUGCAUAGCCGACCUGAGAGGGUGAUCAGCCACACUGGAACUUAGACACGUUCCAGACUCCUACGGUAGGCAGCAGUAGGGAGUCUUCCGCAAUGGGCGACGGCCUGACUGAGCAACGCCGCGUGGGUGAUGAAGGUCUUCGGAUCGUAAAGCUCUUUUAUUUGGGAAGCGGUACCUAAUCAGAAAGCCACGGCUAACUACGUGCCAGCAGCCGCGGUAAUAC